GACGAACGCUGGCGGCGUGCUUAACACAUGCAAGUCGAACGGAAAGGCCUCUUUCGGGGGGUACUCGAGUGGCGAACGGGUGAGUAACACGUGAGUAACCUGCCCUUGACUUUGGGAUAACUUCAGGAAACUGGGGCUAAUACCGGAUAGGAGCUCCUGCUGCAUGGUGGGGGUUGGAAAGUUUCGGCGGUUGGGGAUGGACUCGCGGCUUAUCAGCUUGUUGGUGGGGUAGUGGCUUACCAAGGCUUUGACGGGUAGCCGGCCUGAGAGGGUGACCGGCCACAUUGGGACUGAGAUACGGCCCAGACGCCUACGGGAGGCAGCAGUGGGGAAUAUUGCACAAUGGGUGGAAGCCUGAUGCAGCAACGCCGUGUGCGGGAUGACGGCCUUGGGGUUGUAAACCGCUUUCGCUCAUGACGAAGCUUUGUGUGCCGGUAGUGGGUAAAGAAGCACCGGCUAACUACGUG
rnacentral:rRNA from 1 species